rnacentral:misc_RNA from 1 species
UACGGAGGGUCCAAGCGUUAUCCGGAAUCAUUGGGUUUAAAGGGUUCGCAGGCGGUUUGUUAAGUCAGUGGUGAAAUCCUACAGCUCAACUGUAGAACUGCCAUUGAUACUGACGAACUUGAAUACAGUUGAAGUAGGCGGAAUGUGUAGUGUAGCGGUGAAAUGCUUAGAUAUUACACAGAACACCGAUAGCGAAGGCAGCUUACUAAACUGUGAUUGACGCUCAUGAACGAAAGCGUGGGGAGCGAACAGG